UACAGAGGUCUCAAGCGUUUGUUCGGAUUCAUUGGGCGUAAAGGGCGCGUAGGCGGCGGGGUAAGUCGGGUGUGAAAUCUCAGGGCUCAACCCUGAAACUGCACUCGAUACUGCUCUGCUUGAGGACUGGAGAGGAGACUGGAAUUCACGGUGUAGCAGUGAAAUGCGUAGAGAUCGUGAGGAAGACCAGUGGCGAAGGCGGGUCUCUGGACAGUUCCUGACGCUGAGG
rnacentral:rRNA from 1 species